AGGAUGCAAUGGAGAACAUUUACAGAGGACUGUGGGUAAAGCAAAGUCUUCAAGGGAAGAUAACAAAGGAUGAAACAAUGGUGUUGUGUGACUUCCUAAGAAAAAUCAAGACAAGACUUUGUUCUAUUUCAUCAAGUCCUUGACGCCUCCUCCCAGCUGGUGUGAAUCAUGGCAAUACAGUGAAAGACAGUGAUUUACUGCUUUUGAGGGCGUGCAUGUAUAUGAUUAACGGAUGGAAGUGCAGGACUCCAAGAUUUACUUCCUUCCCUUUCCAGCAGAAUUACCUGAGACGAGUAAAAUCUACUGGUGGAGUCACUCCAUUAUUCUUAUCUGUGGAGAUCUAGAUCUUGAUUUGAAAGUUUCUGAGAAAAUCUUCAGCUCAGACUUGAGGGUCAACUUUACCAGCUGAAGGAUCUGCAUUUACUGCUCAACCACAUCUAAUUUGAUGUCCUCUGCAGAUUUAAAAUGUGUGCCUUCUUUUCCGUCACCAAGUCAUCCCUGGGUUACUACUGAACAUCCUUCUCAAUUCCCCCCGACCCAUGGAUGGCUGUUCUCCAUUGUCUGUUUCACCAGAUGUCCUCAAAACAAACAGACAGAAGAAGGAAGUGGCUAAUGGAGCUGUGGAGUCCAAGUGUGACUGCCAAGAGGAAUCCAGCAAAGCCAAAAAGCCCAAGCAUGUAGCCCUGCCCGAAGCACGCCACACGCAUGGAAAACCCAGAGGAAAUGAGUGAGGAUCAAUGGGAAGAAGAGAGCCAGCCAGGAAGUUGAAGAUUUGUCCAGGAGCAGAUAGCUGAAGAGAGAGAGAGAGAAGAGAGAACGGCUUACAGCUCAGGUCCUCUCUCCAUGCUUAGGAACCACUACAAAUGCUACUGCCUUGAGUCUCAUUUUGUUUCCCUCUGGAAACCACAUGUGUACCUUGUUUGCAACAGUAUGGUUCUGGAGACCAGAAGGCCAAAAUCAAAAGUAUGGGCAGGCUUGAUUUCUUUAGAAGACUCCAGCGGAGAACUGUGUCUCCUUGCUUCUGAUUCUACAUCUCCAUCCAUGGGCCACUGUUUCAGCAACCUCAGCCAGUGCAACACAACCUCAGCCAAGAAGAGUAUGCAGAGAAAGGAGUCCCCUACCUGCCACAAAACUGUUGUCUGAAAACUGUCUCAUAUUGUCUCAAGUUGUCAUUCAUUGUGAAUUAGACCUGUUUAACAUGUAA
rnacentral:lncRNA from 1 species